rnacentral:rRNA from 1 species
GAUGAACGCUAGCGGCAGGCUUAAUACAUGCAAGUCAAGGGGGUAGCAAUACAACCGGCGCACGGGUGAGUAACGCGUACACAACAUACCAUAUACUGGGGUAUAGCUUUGGGAAACUGAAGGUAAUCCCCCAUAACAUUGCGAGAGGGCAUCUGAUUGCAAUUAAAGUUUCGGCGGUAUAUGAUUGGUGUGCGUUUGAUUAGCUAGUUGGUAGGGUAACGGCCUACCAAGGCGACGAUCAAUAGCUGGCGUGAGAGCGCGACCAGCCACACUGGAACUGAGACACGGUCCAGACUCCUACGGGAGGCAGCAGUAGGGAAUAUUGGACAAUGGGCGAAAGCCUGAUCCAGCCAUGCCGCGUGAGUGAAGAAGGCC